rnacentral:rRNA from 1 species
GACUCCGGUUGAUCCUGCCGGACCUCACUGCUAUCGGGGGGAGACUAAGCCAUGCAAGUCUAGGCCCAUAGCCACCUGUGGGCCUGGCGUACGGCUCAGUAACACGUGGCCAACCUACCCUGAGGAGGCGGAUAACACCGGGAAACUGGUGCAUAAACCGCCAUAGGUGAGAGGAUCUGGAACGAUCUCUCGCCGAAAGAUGUACACGGGGAUGCCUGUGUACAUGCCUCAGGAUGGGGCUGCGGCCCAUCAGGUAGUUGGUGGGGUAACGGCCCACCAAGCCUAUAACGGGUACGGGCCCUGAGAGGGGGAGCCCGGAGAUGGACUCUGAGACAAGAGUCCAGGCCCUACGGGGCGCAGCAGGCGCGAAACCUCCGCAAUGCGCUCACGCGUGACGGGGUCACCCCGAGUGCCACCCUCGUGGUGGCUUUUGCGCAGUGUAAAAAGCUGCGCGAAUAAGCGGGGGGCAAGACGGGUGUCAGCCGCCGCGGUAAUACCCGCUCCGCGAGUGGUGAGGACUAUUACUGGGCUUAAAGCGUCCGUAGCCGGCUCGGCGUGCUCCGCGUUAAAUCCAGCAGCCUAACUGCUGGGCCGCGCGGAUGACUGCCGGGCUUGGGGGUGGGAGAGGGCAGCGGUAUUCCCGGGGUAGGGGUAAAAUCCACUGAUCCCGGGAGGACCACCAGUGGCGAAGGCGGCUGCCCAGAACACGCCCGACGGUGAGGGACGAAAGCUGGGGGAGCGAUCGGGAUUAGAUACCCCGGUAGUCCCAGCCGUAAACGAUGCGGGCU